CAUGCACUGUUGGUCAGAUCAGUUAUACAAUAAUGGAUUAGUACUUUCCGCGUUCAGUACUGCACGGCAUGCUCCGCGCGGUGCUGUUCACUACUAUAUAUCAUAUGUUGAUAUGACUCCGGCGCGGCUCCUUACGUGAGAUACAUCUUCUACAAAAUAGUGUGUCGUGAUAUGAUGUCUUGUGAGAGCGGGGGAUAUAUAUAUCUCUCUGUGUGCGGGAAUAUACUUCGUGAUAAUAGUGUGAGAAAUCCGCGGGGGGAAAAGAGGCCCCCCCUCUGGAAAAAAAAUAUAUUCUCUUUUGUGUGGAAAAAGUGUGGGCCAAACCCGGUUUUUUAUAUCCCCGGUUUUUCCCCCCGUUAAAAGAAUUUUUUUUGGGGGUUUUGGUUUUUUAAACCCGGGUUUUUGGGGGGUAAACGGGGUUAAAUUUGCCCCCCUGGGGGGAUUACCGGCCCCAAAGGUUUUAAAAUUUAAAUUAAAUUGGAGGGGGGGCCCCCCCCCCAAGCGGGGGGGAGCCAUGGGGUUUUUAUUUGGAGAAAGGGGAAAAACCUUUACCUUAUUCUGAACUUCCAGGGAAUUCUUUAGAGAUAGGAGGAGGGCCUUUGGGAAACGGUGAGACAGGGGUUGCAUGGGCUGGUCGUCAGCGUGUUGUGAAAAUGUUGGGGUUAAAGUCCCGGCAACGAGCGCAACCCUUAUCCUUUGUUGCCAGCACGUAAUGGUGGUGGGGAACUCAAAGGAGACUGCCGGUGAUAAACCGGAGGAAGGUGGGGAUGACGUCAAGUCAUCAUGGCCCUUACGAGUAGGGCUACACACGUGCUAACAAUGGCAGAUACAAAGAGAAGCGACCUCGCGAGAGCAAGCGGAACUCAUAAAGUCUGUCGUAGUCCGGAUUGGAGUCUGCAACUCGACUCCAUGAAGUCGGAAUCGCUAGUAAUCGUAGAUCAGAAUGCUACGGUGAAUACGUUCCCGGGCCUUGUACACACCGCCCGUCACACCAUGGGAGUGGGUUGCAAAAGAAGUAGUGUAGCUUAACCUUCGGGAGGGCGCUUACUCAUCGUUGUU
rnacentral:rRNA from 2 species